rnacentral:rRNA from 1 species
AUACGGAGGGGGCUAGCGUUGUUCGGAAUUACUGGGCGUAAAGCGCACGUAGGCGGAUUAAAAAGUUAGAGGUGAAAUCCCAGGGCUUAACCCUGGAACUGCCUUUAAAACUAGUAGUCUAGAGUUCGAGAGAGGUGAGUGGAAUUCCAAGUGUAGAGGUGAAAUUCGUAGAUAUUUGGAGGAACACCAGUGGCGAAGGCGGCUCACUGGCUCGAUACUGACGCUGAGGUGCGAAAGCGUGGGGAGCAAACAGGAUUAGAAACCCUUGUAGUCC